rnacentral:rRNA from 1 species
GACGAACGCUGGCGGCGUGCUUAACACAUGCAAGUCGAACGAGAAGAGAUGAGAAGCUUGCUUCUUAUUGAUUCGAGUGGCAAACGGGUGAGUAACGCGUAGGCAACCUGCCCUUCAGAUGGGGACAACACUUCGAAAGAGGUGCUAAUACCGAAUGACGUAUCCAUUCCGCAUGGAGAGGAUAGCAAAGGCCGGGCAACCGGUCACUGAAGGAUGGGCCUGCGUCUGAUUAGCUGGUUGUGGGGUAACGGCCCACCAAGGCGACGAUCAGUAGGGGUUCUGAGAGGAAGGUCCCCCACAUUGGAACUGAGACACGGUCCAAACUCCUACGGGAGGCCAGCAGUGAGGAAUA